rfam:Triticum aestivum genome assembly, contig: Triticum_aestivum_CS42_TGACv1_scaffold_516514_6BS
AUUCUACUCCCUCCGUCCGAAAAUACUUGUCGAAGAAAUGCAUAAAAAUGGAUGUAUCUAGAACUUACGUCUAGAUACAGCCAUUCCUCCAACAAGUAUUUCCAGAUGGAGGGAGUACUAC